GGCAUGAGCCACCCACCUGAGCAACUGUGUUUAGUUCUUAAUCCCUCAGCUGAAGAAAUGAGAAGAUCUUGGAGACUCUCCAAGGCAGGGUUUGCCUUGUCGCAGAUGCACCUUUGGGCACAGGCCAGGGAAGUAUAGAGCAGUGCUAGCCUUAGGAAGAGAGGAUAUGGCAAGACCCAUGUUUUGAGAGGAAAACACUGUCUUUCUCUUUCUCCCCAUUAGGCCAAAUGCCUGGGACUUGCUGGCCUGAGAAUGAAAAGGGAAGUUUUCCUGCACAAACUCUUCUCUUGACUGCCACCACGUGAGACAUCCUUUCACCUUCUGCCAUGAUUGUGAGACCUCUCAAGCCACAUGGAACUUUACAGGUUUGUGUGAGGCCCAACUUUCUUCAUCUACUUCAACCAAAACAAUGUAUCAUCUCAGACUGGGUGCAGAAGCAGCUAUGGAACCACAGCUGUUUUCUAUUAAGCCAGACAUUAAAGCAACUUAUAAAAAUGUGAAAC
rnacentral:lncRNA from 1 species